rnacentral:rRNA from 1 species
AGGGCACCACCAGGAGUGGAGCCUGCGGCUUAAUUUGACUCAACACGGGGAAACUUACCCGGCCUGGACACUGGAAGGAUUGACAGAUUGAGAGCUCUUUCUUGAUUCAGUGGGUGGUGGUGCAUGGCCGUUCUUAGUUGGUGGAGCGAUUUGUCUGGUUAAUUCCGAUAACGAACGAGACUCUAGCCUAUUAAAUAGGCUCUCGGCUUUUAAACGCCGGGAGGACUUCUUAGAGGGACAGGUGGCGGUUCAGCCUCACGAAAGAGAGCAAUAACAGGUCUGUGAUGCCCUUUGUUGUCCGGGGCCGCACGCGCGCUACACUGAAGAGAUCAGCGUGCUUUACGUUCCUGCUCCGACCGGAGUGGGGAACCCAGUGAACCUUCUUCGUGAUUGGGAUAGAAGAUUGUAAUUAUUCUUCUUGAACGAGGAAUUCCCAGUAAAUGCGAGUCAUAAGCUCGCGUUGAUUACGUCCCUGCCCUUUGUACACACCGCCCGUCGCUACUACCGAUUGAACGAUUU